rnacentral:rRNA from 1 species
UACAGAGGUCCCAAGCGUUGUUCGGAUUCACUGGGCGUAAAGGGUGCGUAGGCGGUCGGGUAAGUCUGGUGUGAAAUCUCCAAGCUCAACUUGGAAAUGGCAUUGGAUACUAUUCGGCUAGAGGAAUGGAGGGGAGACUGGAAUACUUGGUGUAGCAGUGAAAUGCGUAGAUAUCAAGUGGAACACCAGUGGCGAAGGCGAGUCUCUGGACAUUUCCUGACGCUGAGGCACGAAAGCCAGGGGAGCAAACGGG